rnacentral:lncRNA from 1 species
ACCUGGGAAGCACGCAGGACGGACGGACGGGAUGAGUAAAGCUCAGGACCUCCGAGACGUCUCACUUUCACCAUUCAUUCGGGGCGCUGGGAGGUGGAGGCCUCAGCAUUUCCUAACUUAUUUUUUUAUGAAGCACUCGCCUCACCCAGUAGACUGAGAGUGUGCUCCCCGUUGACCUCAGCUCAGAAAGAAGGGAAGUCUGAUGCUAAGCUCCUCUUCCUCUACCACGGGCUCCACGCACCCCAAGACCCCCCGGGAGGUCCCGAUCCUCCUUCAGAACCAGAGCACAAGGACCGUCUUUCAUGCUCUUUUCUUGGUAGAACCUGACCUGUUGCAGAGCCGAGCGCCCCGCCUCUGUCUUGGGCACGUGACAGUCAGCCCUCAGGAACUUAGGUCCAGACCAAUAACGGACUUGUUGGCAUCCCCUCAUCUCCCAGUUAUGAAUUCCUUGGGUUCCGUGUGUCUCUACGUUCCAGUUGGUAGCACCUAACGAGUCUGCUGAAUGGAUUUUCCCUUAGUUUGAAUCCCUGCCUGGUUUGGCCAUAAGAAAACAAAUACCAUUCAUGGGGUGUGUGACAUAGACGCUGGUGCUCCCCAAUUAUUCCAUGAGAUCCUGCAUAUUUUCCAGCCUUCCUGGCACUUAGCAUGGAGCCAGGUGACAAAUUUAAGUUCACGGGCUCAAGGGGGAGUGAAGCAAUGCACAGCACUUGCCACCCGAGGACAUCGAGGAGGCUGAAAGCUGCACGCAUCUGCCGCGGUGGCUGGAAGCGAAGAACGCUGAGACGGUGAAGGGGCCACAGGGAGCAUUGCUAAGCGCACCACUGCUGAAAGGCGGCCACCAGAGAGGAUGGGCUGACCUGUAUCAGACUGCUCCGAAAGUGACAAAUAAGCCUCUGGCUUUGGAGGUUUGCUGCCACAGCAAAACUUAGCUUUACCCUGACCAACCGCGGGUGAGUUUCACAAGCUGAAAGUGUAAGGAGGAGACAAGCCCGUGGAAUAUGACAGCAUCACCGCGGGUGAGUUUCACAAGCUGAAAGUGUAAGGAGGAGACAAGCCCGUGGAAUAUGACAGCAUCACUGGCUAGCAACAUCUUCUGAUAUCCUGGAAUUAGUCGGGAUGGGCCAUGGAUCUGGAUCUGAAACUUUUAAAUCGAAAUGGGGACAAGAGCAUCCCUAUGACGUCAUUGGAGAAUCUGAGGCAUAGAGAAGCGAAGGGAUGGGCUUCUCGGAUUAGGAGUGAGCGAAGCAUGAGAACAGAGACCUCAAUUUCCCCUGGGCUGUUUCCCACCCUUCCUAGUUGGGAUUUCUCCUCCCCCAGCAUUUGUGCCCUUUGAGUUAGUAUUCUAGGCAUGAGACUGACCUAUUUCGAAGUGGGACAGGUUGGCGUCUCUAAAGCGGGUUCCACAGAAGACUCUGUUUUGAAGCAACAUGGUGGUAAAGAGGUUAACACUGAAUGGGAGUUUUACUUCCAGGCAGGGAUCUCGAGCCCUGGUGGAAAGACUGCAGCUGCCCUGUGGCCCAGAUAAUGCAACAUCGGGCUGAGCAAGGACAUCUGAGAACAUUCUGUUCUCCUCCCCCGAGACCAAUUAAAAUCUGGAGGCAUCUUUCUUGUUGAUCGAGCUGACUAACUAAUUGAAACGGAAUUGUGAUAUUUUCAUCAGCUUUCUCUUAUCCCUCUUGGCCUUGCCAGCAGAGAGCAAGUUGAAUGAUCAGAGAGUUUCAAGCAUGUGAGGCCCAGGGAACGGAACCCCUCUCACCGUAAACCACUACAUUUCCACGGAACAAGGUUCGAAAAAGGAUGAUGCGGGGUCGAGAGUAGGGCGAUACGCUCAAAUCUCAGUCUCAGUUCAUCCAGAUACCAAAGAUACCAUCUUCGGGAUUCCUGAUGAACCAUAAAGCUGUCCUUCAGCAGUUGCUGCUCCAAUAAACCAGCUUCUGACCUCUGCCUUCCUAACGAACAUCCCUCUGCCUGACUGCGGAAGCUCCUAGAAACAAAGAACCAAACGCCUCUGAGGCCCAACAAGAUCCCUUUCCUUCCAUUGAGCUAGAAUGUAUUUCCUCGGCACGUGCAAAUGGCCUAGUGGUUAAUCUUAGCAAUUGUCCCAAAGGACAUCCAAGCCUCUGGGAAUGGGUUACAUGAUUGAGAUUGCAGGACCUUUUUCUGCUUCAGCAUGAAGACCUGCAUGUUAGCAUUUGUGAGGAGAGCUCAAGAUGGGGGGAAGUCCUCUUGGCUCCUGAUCUAAGGAAGAGCUGCGUCUUAAGCAUUGGUAGAAUUGCUCAUGUGUCCAGUGUGAGGUGGCCUUGGCUGACAAGCUAUCAAAAUAAAUAAAUAACAAGAAAAUGGACAA